GACAGAGGUGCCAAGCGUUAGGCGGAAUCACUGGGCUUAAAGCGUGUGUAGGCGGAUCGUUAAGUGCCUUGUGAAAUCCCACGGCUCAACCGUGGAACUGCUUGGCAUACUGGCGGUCUUGAGCUGCCCAGGGGUCACUGGAACAAACGGUGGAGCGGUGAAAUGCGUAGAUAUCGUUUGGAACGCCCAAGGUGAAAACAGGUGACUGGGGGCAAGCUGACGCUGAGACACGAAAGCCAGGGGAG
rnacentral:rRNA from 1 species